rnacentral:misc_RNA from 1 species
UAAAUGUGCCCCUUUUCAAACAUUAGCCGAACACGAGGCGAAUGCAUCAGCUUGGCACUCUGAGGAAUCGGAGAGCCUGGUUGUGAGCCUGGCCGAAUCCAUGAUGGGCCUGAAAAAAUCUUCUUGGUGCCCACGGGACAGAGAGAAUCCAAAAAACAAAAUAUCUUUUGUUUAUAUGGAUGGAUAUUCUAUAUGUUGUAAAUCAAGAAAAUGUUUUUAUAUUUUAUCGUGAAUUUAGAAAAUAAAAAUCAUAGAAGUCAUUUACGUGCCAGUUUUAUCAUUAAACUAUCGUAAAAUAAAAGAAAAUGUCUUUAUUUUCCUCAUAAUAAUUUCCUAUUGUAUUUUCAUCAAAGAAUAUGUCUUGCUGAAGCUAUUGUUUCUAUAGAGAUUAUCAGUUAUCGUCUAAUGAUCAUAUUUUUUUUUUUUUUCAAUUAUUGGCAGAGUCUUUGUUGGGCAUGGGCGACUUUGUUUAUUAGGUAACGUGAUACGUGGGCAAUCAGCGGAGAGAAGUUUCAUAGAAAACCACGAAAACUCUGUCUAUCCAUUCGUCUUUAACAUUACAUUAAGAACAAUCUAUUUUACAAAAAUAGCGUACUAUAGCAACGACGUACAUUAAUUUUAAGAAGUGGUGUAAUUCGAAUUUAAAUUAGCAUAAGGUCGAUUAUAAUACAAUCAGUCGCAUAUAUAAGAGAAUUGUUCUCGUUGCAUAACGUCUAAAGGUUAGAAAUCCUAGAGUAAAAUACAGUCGACCCUUUAUAACACUGUUGAUAAUUCCGUUUUAUAUGAAUUCCAUGUUGUACGAGUCACUUAGAUUUUACAAAUACGUGAGCCGUUCACAGCCCAGCACACGUAUUUAUAGGGGGAAGCUCUCUUAUUGCCCACAGAACGGAAAGAGUAAAAAUCUCGGGCUUUCCACUGUCCACUUAUAGUGGAUGUUCCAAAGUACUGGGCUUCAUCGCUCAUCACCUUAUCGUGCAUAUGGCCAAACCGCAUAGCGGGUAUUGUUUGGUUUGAUAGGGUAUGGCUUCGCAACACAAGCGCGAUCUGCUAAAGGAGGCUUCUCAGAGGAAACUGGCCCUAUUUAGUUGGGUAGUCAAGUGAAAAAAAUCUGAAAAACUCCACGUGAUCAAUCCAUUGGUCAGAAGCGAAUAUAUGACAAACCACCAGUGUUUAGUGUAUCUUAUCUAUUCGGCCACCGAUGGGCUCUGAUGAGUAUGGAAAAAAGAUCCUCUUGGUGCGCAUAGAGCAGAGAAAUUUAACAAAUAAAGAAUUCCAUUAGUAUCUAUAAAUAUUUUCAUAUUUAUUUAAUGUAUUUAAACAGAACCUGCUUAGUAAGCAAAUUUCAAAUUCUUGUUUUAGUCACACAUACUCUCAUUUUAAAUUAUUUGAAAAGUCCGCGAUUGGAAUUUAGUCUCAGUUACAUAUUUUUAUUAUUAAAAAUUUCCUUGUUGCAACGACCGUUUUUAUUCUUGUAAUACAUCCCAGAUUUUAAUGUUAUUCUUCCGCAUUACGUGAUUCAACUUCCAUGAUUAUUUAACAUUAUACUUCAUACAGUAACAAAAAAAUGUAUAUAAAUGUGAAUAGCUUCUUAUAUUUAAGUCGUUAAUUUGUCUUAUUUUAUCACACAUAUAUUUAUUAUCGCAAAAUACGACGCAAAAUAAAGCGUCAUACGCAACGUAUUUUAUCAUGGCGGCACACAAUAGAUGUAAACUGGUGGUAGCAUUUUAUUUCCACUUCACAAAUAAACGCUUAAAACUUACAUAAUUAAUUUUACAUAUAAAAUAUUUCCCUACAAACUGAAAUACCCAGCACUAGAAGGUUUUUUUAUACUAUCCUUGACCUCUUAACAGUACUCUGGUUAUCUGUUCAUUCGAUAAAGAGCACUAGCAUUAAAUACGUGUUUAUUUAAUGAAGUACAUACAUUUAGAUCGAUGAAUCUUUGUAUUUGAAUUUAUUGAUUCAUAAAAUUAGAUAUUUUACAGUAUUAUCAAUCGAUUUACAACUCUUAACGAAGUCUACAAACUACCACUACCGUUAAACUAUCGAUCGUUAAAUGACGUCAGCGGUUAAUGGCCUUUGAACGUCGGCAUUGACGUCAUCUAACAGUGAUGGUAACGGUUGAUUCGUUCCAACCUCUUCAGCCAAUAGUAUUAAAUUUUUCUGUUGUUUGAAAAUGGAGGACAAUGCAACAAAGAGAAUCCGCAAGCCUAAUUUUUCUCAUUUAGAAAUUGAAAGGCUGGUAAGUUGCGUCGAGGAGCGGCCAUAUUUAAAUAAUAUCGAGUUAGGAAAGGUUUUUAAAACGACUCACGAAGUCAGAAAUGCUUGGGAAGAAGUGGCCAAAGAAGUUAGCAGUUGUUCUUUUAUUGGUCUUGUAAGAAGCGGUAGAGAAGUGCGUGAUAAAUGGCAGGAUUUAAAAUGCCGCAUUAAGAAGAAAGCUUUAAAUAUUCAUAAAUUAGCCAGAAAUUCGGAAGGAAAAUAUCCUAUUCCUGAAUUACUUCCCAUCGAUAAAAGGGUUUUGAAGUUUAUUAACUGUAAUAACAAUAUUGAAGUCGAGUGUACUGUUGAAACGAUACAAGAGGUACUGAUGUCCUUUUAAAGGAUUUAAAGGCCCUGUAUGCAGGGUCCACCACCAGUAACCAAGUGGUUCUGUUCCCUGAACACUGGGAAUUCAGUUGUGAGUUUGUGCCUCACCAGGACAGGAUGGUCAUGUGGAGUUUUCCAGGUUUUCUCCAUAUCUGUAACAUCUGAAUAGGGGCCUUAAAAAGACCACCCAGAAGGCAUCUUCUAGGCAGAUACGCCUAAGUGUUGUGUUGCCAUAAUUUAAUAAACAAACCUGUAUGCAGAUGAGUAGUGAGGGAUGGAGUUUGAAAUAUAUCCAAAAUGGCCACCCUCUAAAAAAUUUAUAGGUUUUUUUAUUAUUUGUUUGGAUUUAAUCCUGGAUCCUCCAAAGCAAUUGAUUGCCACCUUAACCACUCGAUCAUCCAUCAUUUAACUUUUGCUAUUAUCAAUCAUCUGACUUUUUCAAGCGAAGUAGCCUUGUUACUGCUUUUACCACCUCUCUGCAUCUUAUUUUUUUACUCUUAUAUCUUUACUCUCUGUGGAAGGAAGAGAUAAGGAGCUUCCUGCAUCCUUCCUUAUCUUUCCUUUCCAUCUUCUUUUUGGCUUUUGUUAUAAACUUACUUACUAAUGAACAUUUCUAUCUUAAAAAUUUUAAAAAUUUAAAUUUUCAGGAACCAUAUGAAGGAAUAUUGGAAAAUACAGAUAAUGCCAUUGAUGUUAAUUCUACCAUAGUUUAUUGUCAAGAUUCUAAUUCAGAGAAUACUCUUUUAACAGAAACUCCAUUUUAUCAUGUAAAUAAACAAAUUGAAGCUUAUACCACUUCCAGGGAUAAGAGGAUAAAAAGGAAAUACCAACACAGAUGGGAAGUUCUAGAAGAAAAAUUAGAAAAAAUUUUAACUACGAAUGAUGAUAUCAAAUGUAGUUUAAAGGGUAUAAAUGAG